rnacentral:rRNA from 1 species
UGAGGAAUAUUGGUCAAUGGGCGGAAGCCUGAACCAGCCAAGUCGCGUGAGGGAAGAAGGCCCUGCGGGUCGCAGACCUCUUUGGACGGGGAGCAAGGCCGCCGACACGUCGGCGGAAGGAGAGUACCCGUAGAACAAGCAUCGGCUAACUCCGUGCC